rnacentral:rRNA from 1 species
UACGGAGGGUGCAAGCGUUAUCCGGAUUCACUGGGUUUAAAGGGUGCGUAGGUGGGCUAGUAAGUCCGUGGUGAAAUCUCCAAGCUUAACUUGGAAACUGCCGUGGAUACUAUUAGUCUUGAAUCUCGUGGAGGUAAGCGGAAUAUGUCAUGUAGCGGUGAAAUGCUUAGAUAUCGGGAGGAACACCAGUGGCGAAGGCGACUACCUGGCCUGUUCUUGACGCUGAGGCGCGAAAGCUAGGGGAGCAAACGGG